UGCGAGUCAUUGUAGUAAUACAAGGCAGACGGCUCAGUAACGCGUAGUCAACCUACCCUAUGGACGGGAAUAACCUCGGGAAACUGAGUAUAAUGCCCGAUAGAACACUAUACCUGGAAUGGUUUGUGUUCCAAAUGAAUGUCGCCGUAGGAUGGGACUGCGGCCUAUCAGUUUGUUGGUGAGGUAAUGGCCCACCAAGACUAUUACAGGUACGGGCUCUGAGAGGAGUAGCCCGGAGAUGGGUACUGAGACACGGACCCAGGCCCUAUGGGGCGCAGCAGGCGAGAAAACUUUGCAAUGUGCGAAAGCACGACAAGGUUAAUCCGAGUGGUUUGUGCUAAACGAACCUUUUGACAGUCCUAGAAACACUGUUGAAUAAGGGGUGGGCAAGUUCUGGUGUCAGCCGCCGCGGUAAAACCAGCACCUCAAGUGGUCAGGAUGAUUAUUGGGCCUAAAGCAUCCGUAGCCGGCUCUGUAAGUUUUCGGUUAAAUCUGUACGCUCAACGUACAGGCUGCCGGGAAUACUGCAGAGCUAGGGAGUGGGAGAGGUAGACGGUACUCGGUAGGAAGGGGUAGAAUCCUUUGAUCUAUUGAUGACCACCUGUGGCGAAGGCGGUCUACCAGAACACGUCCGACGGUGAGGGAUGAAAGCUGGGGGAGCAAACCGGAUUAGAUACCCGGGUAGUCCCAGCUGUAAACUAUGCAAACUCAGUGAUGCAUUGGCUUGUGGCCAAUGCAGUGCUGCAGGGAAGCCGUUAAGUUUGCCGCCUGGGAAGUACGUACGCAAGUAUGAAACUUAAAGGA
rnacentral:rRNA from 1 species